rnacentral:rRNA from 1 species
CUCAGUAACGGCGAGUGAAGCGGCAACAGCUCAAAUUUGAAAUCUGGCCCUAGGCCCGAGUUGUAAUUUGCAGAGGAUGCUUUUGGUGAGGUGCCUUCCGAGUUCCCUGGAACGGGACGCCAUAGAGGGUGAGAGCCCCGUCUGGUCGGACACCGAGCCUCUGUAAAGCUCCUUCGACGAGUCGAGUAGUUUGGGAAUGCUGCUCUAAAUGGGAGGUAUAUGUCUUCUAAAGCUAAAUACCGGCCAGAGACCGAUAGCGCACAAGUAGAGUGAUCGAAAGAUGAAAAGCACUUUGAAAAGAGAGUUAAAUAGCACGUGAAAUUGUUGAAAGGGAAGCGUUUAUG